UGAGUAACGCGUGGAUGAUCUACCUAUGAGAUGGGGAUAACUAUUAGAAAUAGUAGCUAAUACCGAAUAAGGUCAAUUAAUUUGUUAAUUGAUGAAAGGAAGCCUUUAAAGCUUCGCUUGUAGAUGAGUCUGCGUCUUAUUAGCUAGUUGGUAGGGUAAAUGCCUACCAAGGCGAUGAUAAGUAACCGGCCUGAGAGGGUGAACGGUCACACUGGAACUGAGAUACGGUCCAGACUCCUACGGGAGGCAGCAGCUAAGAAUCUUCCGCAAUGGGCGAAAGCCUGACGGAGCGACACUGCGUGAAUGAAGAAGGUCGAAAGAUUGUAAAAUUCUUUUAUAAAUGAGGAAUAAGCUUUGCAGGAAAUGGUAAAGUGAUGACGUUAAUUUAUGAAUAAGCCCCGGCUAAUUACGUGCCAGCAGCCGCGGUAAUACGUAAGGGGCGAGCGUUGUUCGGGAUUAUUGGGCGUAAAGGGUGAGUAGGCGGAUAUAUAAGUCUAUGCGUAAAAUACCACAGCUCAACUGUGGAACUAUGUUGGAAACUGUAUGUCUAGAGUCUGAUAGAGGAAGUUAGAAUUCCUGGUGUAAGGGUGGAAUCUGUUGAUAUCAGGAAGAAUACC
rnacentral:rRNA from 1 species